GCUCCCGUAGCUCAGGUGGAUAGAGCAACUGCCUUCUAAGCAGUAGGUCGCAGGUUCGAGUCCUGCCGGGAGUA
rnacentral:tRNA from 2 species